rnacentral:rRNA from 1 species
GACGAACGCUGGCGGCGUGCUUAACACAUGCAAGUCGAACGGAAAGGCCCUGCUUUUGUGGGGUGCUCGAGUGGCGAACGGGUGAGUAACACGUGAGUAACCUGCCCUUGACUUUGGGAUAACUUCAGGAAACUGGGGCUAAUACCGGAUAGGAGCUCCUGCUGCAUGGUGGGGGUUGGAAAGUUUCGGCGGUUGGGGAUGGGCUCGCGGCUUAUCAGCUUGUUGGUGGGGUAGUGGCUUACCAAGGCUUUGACGGGUAGCCGGCCUGAGAGGGUGACCGGCCACAUUGGGACUGAGAUACGGCCCAGACUCCUACGGGAGGCAACAGUGGGGAAUAUUGCACAAUGGGCGGAAGCCUGAUGCAGCAACGCCGCGUGCGGGAUGACGGCCUUCGGGUUGUAAACCGCUUUCGCCUGUGACGAAGCGUGAGUGACGGUAAUGGGUAAAGAAGCACCGGCUAACUACGUG